UACGUAGGGGGCGAGCGUUGUCCGGAUUUAUUGGGCGUAAAGAGCUCGUAGGCGGUUCGAUAAGUCGGACGUGAAAUCUCCACGCUCAACGUGGAGGGGCCGUUCGAUACUGUCGUGACUCGAGUCCGGUAGGGGAGUGUGGAAUUCCCGGUGUAGCGGUGAAAUGCGCAGAUAUCAGGAGGAACACCGAUGGCGAAGGCAGGUCUCUGGGCCGAUACUGACGCUGAGGAGCGAAAGCGUGGGGAGCGAACAGG
rnacentral:rRNA from 1 species